rnacentral:rRNA from 1 species
CCCUUAGAUGUUCUGGGCCGCACGCGUGCUACACUGAGUGGAUCAGCGGGUCAGGCUGCGCGAAAGCGUUUCCUAAUCUUUAAAUCCGCUCGUGAUGGGGAUUGACGGUUGCAAUUUUCUGUCAUGAACGAGGAAUACCUUGUAAGCGCGGGUCAUCAUCCCGCGCUGAAUACGUCCCUGCCCUUUGUACACACCGCCCGUCGCUCCUACCGAUUGAGUGGUCCGGUGAGGCUUUGGGAUCUGAGCGGAAAGAGCGUUUCGCUGUUUCUGCUCGGAAAACUCAGUCGAACCUUAUCAUUUAGAGGAAGGAGAAGUCGUAACA